rnacentral:lncRNA from 1 species
UUACCCUCCAGCUCGGUGAACCUGAGGGCGGCGCUGUUGAGCGCCCUCACCCUCUCGCUCUGCGCCGCGAUGUCGGCCUCCAGCAGGGCGUGCUUCUGCAGGAGGUCCUCCACCUCCAGGAGGUGCUUCCCCAGCUCCCUCGACAGCAGCGGGGCCUGGGGGGGGUGGGGGUGGGGGGUGAGGAGGGAAAGGUGGGGUCCCAUGGGGGGGACACCCCACGUCUCCGAUGGGGGGACAACCUUUGUCCCCCUCGGCAAAAAAGAAUAUGGGAUCUGGAGGUGGCAUCCCAUGGGGGACGGCCGCAUGACCAACUUGGGGACAACACGCGUCUCCCAUUGGGGACCCCCCCAGCAACCCCAUUGGGACACCCCAUAUUCCACUGGGACACCCCACAUCCCAUUGGGGCACCCCACAUCCCAUUGGGAUCCCCAUCUCCCAUUGGGGCAGCCCACAUCCCAUUGGGGACACCCACAUCCCAUUAGGGCACCCCACAUCCCAUUGGGGACACCCAUCUCCCAUUGGGAUCCCCAUCUCACAUUGGGACACCCCACAUCCCAUUGGGAUCCCCAUCUCACAUUGGGACACCCCAUAUCCACUGGGGACACCCCACAUCCCAUUGGGGCACCCCACAUCCCAUUGGGAUCCCCAUCUCACAUUGGGACACCCCAUAUCCCACUGGGGACACCCAUCACCCAUUGGGACACCCCAUAUCCCAUUGGGACACCCCACAUCCCAUUGGGAUCCCCAUCUCACAUUGGGACACCCCAUAUCCACUGGGGACACCCAUCUCCUAUUGGGACACCCCACAUCCCAUUGGGGACACCCAUCUCACAUUGGGAUACCCCACAUCCCAUUGGGGACAACCAACAUCCCACUAGGGACCCCCCAAAUCCUAUUGGGAUCCCCAUCUCACAUUGGGACAACCCAUAUCCACUGGGGACACCCCAUAUCCCACUGGGGACACCCAUCUCCUAUUGGGAUACCCCAUAUCCCAUUGGGACACCCCACAUCCAUUGGGGACACCCAUCUCACAUUGGGACACCCCAUAUCCCACUGGAGACACCCAUCUCCCAUUGGGAUACCCCAUAUCCCAUUGGGACACCCAACAUCCCAAUGGGACACCC